rnacentral:tRNA from 1 species
UGGGCGCGCAGGGAGGGCGCCCAGUGCAGCUGGUAGCUGGACAGUUCCACGGCGAGCACGUCGAGGUCGGCGUACGCCUCGUCGGUGCCCAG